rnacentral:rRNA from 1 species
AAGGCCUUCGGGUCGUAAAGCUCUGUUGUAGGGAAGAACAAGUACCAGAGUAACUGCUGGUACCUUGACGGUACCUAACCAGAAAGCCACGGCUAACUACGUGCCAGCAGCCGCGGUAAUACGUAGGUGGCAAGCGUUGUCCGGAAUUAUUGGGCGUAAAGCGCGCGCAGGCGGUUCCUUAAGUCUGAUGUGAAAGCCCACGGCUCAACCGUGGAGGGUCAUUGGAAACUGGGGAACUUGAGUGCAGAAGAGGAAAGCGGAAUUCCACGUGUAGCGGUGAAAUGCGUAGAGAUGUGGAGGAACACCAGUGGCGAAGGCGRCUYUCUGGUCUGUAACUGACGCUGAGGCGCGAAAGCGUGGGGAGCRAACAGGAUUAGAUACCCUGGUAGUCCACGCCGUAAACGAUGAGUGCUAAGUGUUAGRGGGUUUCCGCCCYUUAGUGCUGCAGCUAACGCAUUAAGCACUCCGCCUGGGGAGUACGGYCGCAAGRCUGAAACUCAAAGGAAUUGACGGGGRCCCGCACAAGCGGUGGAGCAUGUGGUUUAAUUCGAAGCAACGCGAAGAACCUUACCAASUCUUGACAUCCYCCUGACMSGYACAGAGAUGUACSUUCCCCUUCGGGGGCAGGRGUGACAGGUGGUGCAUGGUUGUCGUCAGCUCGUGUCGUGAGAUGUUGGGUUAAGUCCCGCAACGAGCGCAACCCUUGUCCUUAGUUGCCAG